rnacentral:tRNA from 1 species
GGUUCCGUAGCUCAGCUGGAUAGAGCAGCUGCCUUCUAAGCAGCAGGCCUUGGGUUCGAAUCCCAACGGAAUCA